ACGGGAGGCAGCAGUGAGGAAUAUUGGUCAAUGGGCGGAAGCCUGAACCAGCCAAGUCGCGUGAAGGAAGACGGUAUUAUGUAUUGUAAACUUCUUUAGCAGGGGAGCAAUAAUCGCCACGCGUGGUGAGAUGAGAGUACCCUGAGAAUAAGCAUCGGCUAACUCCGUGCCAGCAGCCGCGGUAAUACGGAGGAUGCGAGCGUUAUCCGGAUUUAUUGGGUUUAAAGGGUGCGCAGGCGGUCUUUUAAGUCAGUGGUCAAAUCGUGGUGCUCAACGCCAUCCCGCCAUUGAUACUGGGAGACUUGAUUGCGGUUGAGGUAGGCGGAAUUCGUCGUGUAGCGGUGAAAUGCAUAGAUAUGACGAAGAACACCGAUUGCGUAGGCAGCUUACCAAGCCGUAAAUGACGCUCAUGCACGAAAGUGCGGGGAUCGAACAGGAUUAGAUACCCUGGUA
rnacentral:rRNA from 1 species